rnacentral:rRNA from 1 species
UACGUAGGGUGCGAGCGUUGCCCGGAUUUAUUGGGCGUAAAGGGCGCGUAGGCGGCUCGGCACGUCCGUUGUGAAAUCGCCCGGCUCAACUGAGGAACUGCCUUUGAAACUGUCUGGCUUGAGGCCGGGAGAGGGUAGCGGAAUUCCCAGUGUAGCGGUGAAAUGCGUAGAUACUGGGAGGAACACCGGUGGCGAAGGCGGCUACCUGGACCGGAACUGACGCUGAGGCGCGAAAGCCAGGGGAGCAAACGGG